GACGAACGCUGGCGGCGUGCUUAACACAUGCAAGUCGAACGGAAAGGCGCGGAUUUUGUGGGGUGCUCGAGUGGCGAACGGGUGAGUAACACGUGAGUAAACUGCCCUUGACUUUGGGAUAACUUCAGGAAAAUGGGGCUAAUACCGGAUAGGAUCUACUGCUGCAUGGUGGGGGUUGGUAAGUUUCGGCGGUUGGGGAUGGACUGGAGGCUUAUCCGCUGGAUGGUGGGGUAGUGGCGUACGAAGGCUGUGACGGGUAGCCGGCCUGGGAGGGUGGACGGCGACCUUGGGCCUGCGAGACGCCGCAGAAUGCUACGGGAGGCAGUAGUGGGGAGUAUUGCGCAGCGGCGGGACGCGUGAGACAGCAGCGUUGCGUUCGUGAUGCUGGGCUUCGGGUUAUAAACCGCUUUGGCAUGAGCCGAACCGGGAGUGACGGUAAUGGGUAAGGAAGCACCGGCUAACUACGUG
rnacentral:rRNA from 1 species